GAUGAACGCUGGCGGCGUGCCUAAUACAUGCAAGUCGAGCGAACAGACGAGGAGCUUGCUCCUCUGACGUUAGCGGCGGACGGGUGAGUAACACGUGGAUAACCUACCUAUAAGACUGGGAUAACUUCGGGAAACCGGAGCUAAUACCGGAUAAUAUAUUGAACCGCAUGGUUCAAUAGUGAAAGACGGUUUUGCUGUCACUUAUAGAUGGAUCCGCGCCGCAUUAGCUAGUUGGUAAGGUAACGGCUUACCAAGGCGACGAUGCGUAGCCGACCUGAGAGGGGGAUCGGCCACACUGGAACUGAGACACGGUCCAGACUCCGACGGGAGGCAGCAGUAGGGAAUCGUCCGCAAUGGGCGAAAGCCUGACGGAGCAACGCCGCGUGAGUGAUGAAGGUCUUCGGAUCGUAAAACUCUGUUAUUAGGGAAGAACAAAUGUGUAAGUAACUAUGCACGUCUUGACGGUACCUAAUCAGAAAGCCACGGCUAACUACGUG
rnacentral:rRNA from 1 species